UGAACCUCCGGAAGGAUCAUUG
rnacentral:rRNA from 1 species